GUGGAUGUCAAUGAUGAAGAACGUGGACCGGUUCAUGGAGCUUCUGCAACCAUCAAUAUAUACAAUCCAACUGUAGAACCUUCACAGUUUACGAAUGCUCAAAUUUGGAUUAAUGGUGGUCCAAAUGAAACUCCUAAUUAUAUAAUGGUUGGAUGGACGGUUAAUCCAGGCUUAUACGGUGAUCAUCUUACUCGGUUGUUUACAUUUUGGACGGGUGAUAACUAUAAGAAUGGGUGCUACAAUACUCUUUGUACGGGUUUUGUACAAGUUGACAGCUCAGUGACUCCAAGUGAUACUAUAUCUCCAGUUUCUAUAGCUGGUGGA